rnacentral:misc_RNA from 1 species
AUGUGAACAAAUAAAAUGAAUCGCCUAAACUAACCCAACUCAAAUUUCAAUUGAGCUGAGAUUGAUAUAACCAUCUAGCUUGGAACAAUUUACAAUCUUACUAGUUGGUUUGGGUUCAAAAAGCUCAAUAUCCCAACGGGCUCAAUACAACUCAAAAAAAAGAUGAUAACUUUUUUACAAACUCAUCAAACCAACUGCACUAAAUUUAACUUCUAUGAUGUGUAUGAAUCAGAUUGCAGGUGCAAACCUGGAUUGUUUCUGCCCUCCUUUUUGUCCUACAUACUCAGCUACAAUUCUACCAACAUCCUCCACUCCAACUCCAAUGCACAGAGGAUUUUGUAUCUCCAAAGAACCAGAAACUCUCACAUUUGGUCCAUCUCUGCAUUUUCCCAUACAUUUACAACCACAAACAGCACCAUCAGCCCCCAUCACCCUCUCAAAUUCCUCCAUUAAUGCUGCUGCUCCUGCCUUCUUACACUUGUUUCCCAUACACACUUCAAUCCUCCCUACAGAUGUCGAUCGGGCAACACCAACGUUUUCGGUUUUUGAAUUGCGAAGUUGGGUUUGCAAUGGAGGAGGCAGUGUUGAUCCUUGAAUGGAAUUGGUUUGCCAUUGAUCUGGGAAUGGCUGUGAAAGCGCCUUCCUAACUCGAUAGCUUUUGUUGAUCAUAUGGUCUUUAUUGUCACUGGAUUCACAGGAUGAAGAUGAUGAGUCGUUAAUGGUUUGCGCUCGAGCUGCUUUUAGCUUGGCCUUCUCUAACUUCCUGUUUCUUUUCUGUUCCUUCUCCUCUGAUUUUAGCUGUUCGAGUUGUCUUAACAAUGCUUCUCUUGUUUCCUCGAUAGAGAAUCGAUCCGCCUGAAAUUCGCCGAUUGAGGCAUGAUCGAAACGAAACAAUAAGCUCGAUUCAUAAUCCGCAGCGGACAAUCCUUUCAACAAUUUCAAUUUCUUCUUCACCGCUUCCUUCUCCUUCUUCAACCUCCCGCCAUGGCAUGUCGGUCCAACAUAAUACCGUAAAUGACCGUCAUCGCAAAACGUAGAAGAAUCCAUAUUCCGACGACUGGCGAGCCCUAAAGCGCGAGUUCCAGUACCAACAGAACCACCGGAAACGGACAGGCUACAGGAGGCCCGCCGGGCAUCGGCACCGGAGACAUCGAAGGAGCGAGCACAAUCGCGGCGGAAGAGGCCGGGGAGCUUCCGGGAAACGGCGCCGGAG